rnacentral:rRNA from 1 species
AACGCGAAGAACCUUACCUGGAUUUGACAUCUCCUGACAGCCGUAGAGAUACGGUUUCUGUAGCAAUACAGCAGGAAGACAGGUGCUGCAUGGCUGUCGUCAGCUCGUGUGGUGACAUGUUGGGUUAAGUCCCGCAACGAGCGCAACCCUUGUCCUUAGUUGCCAGCAUUCAGUUGGGCUCUCUAGGGAGACUGCCGUGGUGAACACGGAGGAAGGUGGGGAUGACGUCAAGUCCUCAUGGCCUUUAUAUCCAGGGCGACACACGUGAUACAAUGGACGGUACAAAGGGAUGCCAAGUGGUAACACGGAGCUAAUCUCAAAAAAGCCGUUCUCAGUUCGGAUUGGAGUCUGCAACUCGACUCCAUGAAGUUGGAAUCGCUAGUAAUCGCGGAUCAGCACGCCGCGGUGAAUACGUUCCCGGGCCUUGUACACACCGUAGAGAC